UUUUUUUUUUUUUUUUGGGUUCACAUUAAUACUACGUUCCUCAAGUAACAGUACGUUACACCUGUCUUUGAUUUAAAAACUUCACUUUACACAUGGUGCCACCUCCCACUGCUUCCAAUGAGAUACAGACAACAGAUACCCGCCGCUUCACCGUUGCCCACAUCCAGAGGAACCGGCUCUUCAUACCCCCAGAUUAUCUCGAUUAUCUCGAUGCUUCGCCUCCUCCCCCUACCUUCUCCAUAGUUACUGAUUUUUUCUGCUUUCCUCUUCCAAAUCUCAUUCUCAAACUCCAUAUGUUACAUGCUCUGUCUGAUUUCCGUUCUCUCCCAUGGUUACCGCCACUGCAUCCACCUGUUGUUCCAUUGUUACCAUACCCAAUCGCCUAUAUCCCUACCGGUGGUGCCCAACAGAAGCCCUAAAAUCGAUUUCAAUCGUUCGCACCUCCUCUCAGUUGCAUAUCGGUCGACCUUUCCAGGGAAAAAACAUUUCUGGUCACGUAUUGGUAUUAGAGGCCCAGAGACGGAAUAAAAUCCAACACGGAGAUAAAUGCGCUUACUCUUUACAAUUUUGAAUUAUAGAUUGAACAUCAUUGUCUUCUCCUAUUUGUUCAUCACAACUUAAUUUUUUUAUUGUUUUUACCACUUUCAGUUGGUGGAUGCUUCAACUUGAAGAAAGAGGUUGCUGAUGUCAUGCCAUCUCAUGUUAAUAAAGAUGGGAAGUCGGUUUACUUGAACCUGUCAUCUUGGAACAUUGUUACAAAUUUGUUUUUUCUUCAUUCACCUAUUGGAGUUGGAUAUUAUCACUCAAAUACCACUUCAGAUAUCUUGAAUGCGAUAAAAGAACUGCUGCAGAUUUGCUUCUAUUUCUAUUGAGUUAGCUUGAAAGAUUACCUCACUUUAAAGGAAGCAAUUUCUAUAUUGCAGGACUGCAGAUGCGAUCAAGAAAGCUUAUCAGAGAGUAUGAAGCAUCCAUUUGGUAGACAUAAAAGAACCAUAUUGGUCAGUAACAAUGAAAGAAUGGUUAAUUGCCUUCUCAUGAGAAAAAAAAACCCUCAUUACAGGUAUGUAAAUAAUUUUAUUUUUUCUGAUUUAUUGAUUUAUUUUAUAAUUUUCAUAUCUUUAUCUCAUUCUUCAAUUUAUAAAAUUCUGCAACUUAGAGCAUUUUUAGGUGGGGCUUAUCUCUUUAAUAAAGUUUAUAAUAUUGCUAAAUGGAUCUUUUUUUUGAUGGGAUAUUGGUUUUAUUUUUCUCCGGAUACAAAACCCUAUAUUUUUUUUUCCAUUCGACCUCUCUUGAAAAGUGCAUGAGGUAACAUGUUAUUACAUUUCUUAGCAAAUUAUCUCUUGGACUUUUGAUUUAUAGUAAUGUAAUCGUGUCAAUGAAUUUGCUUAGCAAAUUAUCUCUUGGACUCUUGGCUCUUUAAAGAAAGAAUAACCAACAAGUCUCAAAAUUUCUCUUCUCUCUGUAAGUAUUCAUCAUGUCCUUCAUUUUAAAUAUCACAUUUCUAAACUAGAUCAUUCAUUACUUAAAAGUUAAAAAAUAAUUACAAUUUAAGAAACUCAGUUUUGGAAUCUCUUGUGAUAUAUGGGCAAACAACUUCAAUGAUGUUUUAAAUACAAAGCUUCUAUGGGAUUAGCCAAAAUAGAUGUGAGAUUGAAGCAGUUGACCCUAUUUACCCCUGCCCGAGUUAAAUUGAGUUUUCUUACAUAUUUCUAUUUGUGUCCCUUUUAUAUUAUAAGAUUUUUUUUAAUCUAUUUUGGAUUUCAGGUAUGUUUUGAUGUGUAUUCAUUUCCUGUAGAUGUAUACGCCUUCUUUUCUUAGUGUAUUACUUGAUGUAUGUAAUAUAUAUAGGCUAAAUGCUUUCAUGCUCACAUCAAUCCACAGAAGGGUUGGAAACUAUAAACGUGUAAUUAAAAUUACAUCUGAUUAAUAAAUCAAUAAAAGAUGUACCGUAGAUUCCUAUUGCAAAUGGUUUAAUUGAAAUCCGACCCCCGCAAUGCGGGGGUUACUUUCCUAGUU